ACCUUGAACUUGAUAGGGUCAUUCUCCACGAGCACAUGCCCCCGACUCGGGGGCAGGGGAAUGUAAGCCUGAGCAUUCACACUUUACUAGAUCUCCUCUACUGGCUUUAUAGGGCACUACCACGUGUCUCCCUGGCUCACCUUGCUCCCCUCUUCCUGCAAGGCAGGGGGAGAACGUUCACCCUUGAACAAACCAAGAGCAUCCUCAGCCAGUCAGGCGGCUGGUAGCUGGAUACAUAUGCUAACAGGCAAUCAGGAAGUCACUCUCCAACGUAAACUUCAGCCACCUGCAGGGAGAAACACAGCAGCUGAGUGGCCAUUCCCUGAAGGAAACAAAUGCAAGACGACUCCUUUACUCUCAAGCCAAUAAAGAAGGCUGAGGCUCAGAACAAUCGAAUGGCUUGCGCAAGGUAAGUGGCCUCCAGAACCAAACCUCAGGCUGUCUGACUCCAGGGUUCAUGUUCUUCCCACAACAUCACAAUGCCGCUCUCAACGCAGGAGCAAAACCACACAAACUGCCUACUGCAGACCGGAAGACCCUAGUUUGAAGCCUCCAUUAGCGUGACUAUGCAGCUAGACCAACUUACUGUUAAGCAACAGUACCUUUUACUAUGAGGUACCCUUUACUAUUAAGUACUUUUUACUAACAGUAUCUUCUGUUACCUACUAUUAAGUUCCUGCUAUACUUCUUCAAUCUGAAAGUUUUCUGUUAAAACAAAAUGUUAACAUCGUUCUAAAUUAAUAUUGAGACCUUAGAAAUUUUUCCUGUACAAGAUAACACAAUUAUAUGCCCCUUCCCUUCCAUGGCUUGUUAGCUGGUAGAUGAGGGGCUUCUCCUAGAUUAAUUUAACAUCUCAGUUAAUCAAAAGUAGCCAGGCAUGGUGACUCAUGCCUGUAAUCCCAGCCCUUUGGGAGGCAGAGGCGGGUGGAUCGCUUGAGGUCAGGAGUUCAAGACCAGCCUGGCCAGCACGGUGAAACCCCAUCUCUACUAAAAAAUACAAAAAUUAGCUGGGUGUGGUGGUGCACACCUGUAAUCCCAGCUACUCAGGAGGCUGAGGCAGGAGAAUCACUUGAACCCAGGAGGCGGAGUUUGCAGUGAGCCAUUGCACUCCAGCCUGGGCAACAGAGAAAGAGUCCGUCAAAAAAAAAAAAAAAAAAAGGAAAUUUAUGAACUCCAGAGUACCCAUUUACUGCCAAACCAACUGAGGGGAGAGAAAACUGAGGGAGAAAGUGGGGUGGGAUCUCAAAGGGCUUGCCCUGUGCUUUGCUAUAAAUUAUUCAAAGAGGCAAAUUCUAAGGGAUCUCUAAGUAGUUGCUGAUUUUGUAAAGGUAGCCCAUAAAUCUGUUUACGUGUAGCUGCCUUAAACGUGAGUCAACAGGGUAAAUCACACCAACAGGAAACCCAAGCACUGAAAAAGCCAACUAUCUUUUCUGUUUAACAAAUACUAAGAAUAAUAAUCUAAUAAUCUGGCUAUAUCUUUCAUAAAGACCUCCAUCUUCUCUCCUUAGCUGACUGUUGAGAUUUGAUACUUUUCAGAGUCUAAUGAUAAAAUGCUUUCAAAAUGGUUCAUCUAAUGCAAUUAACAAUUCUUUUACUAUAUCCAAUGUGUUACCCUUACGAUAUUUCCUAUUGCUAAUAGAUUAGCCCACUAUUGAAAAAAUUCUGCAGUUGUGACUGUGUUCAUAUGAAAGCAUAUACAAGAUAUAGAGAGACAGCAAAAAAUGGUGGGAAUGGAUGUGUGUAUGAGGGUUUCAGAUAAGAACUUCCAUUAUAUAAUUCAAGAGUAAGUCUAUAAUUUAAGCAGAAAUAAUUUAGAUACUCAUCAAAUUAAGUAAGCGGAAAAAUUUCCUCUCUCUCAUACUAGGUUGCCAUCAUCACAUGUAUCGUUGGAGGGUUGCUGAGCUUGAUAAGCCUUUGAACCAUUUUAUUUGACUUUCCACAUGCCGUCUCGUUGGUAGGGAGAUGGUGAAAUGCCUUGGGUGGUGUAGGAUGAGGAAGGUUUUCACUCUGAAGCUAUGAAGACUUGGAGAAAGGGGCUUAUAGAAGCACUAUGAAAAUAAACUGGAGACUAUUUUUUUUGCUACUUCUUAAAAAGCUUUUUCUUUAGAGAGUAAUAAAGCCAUUCUAUAUCUGUCGUAUACAUGAAUUCAUACUAUUACAGAGUUGAAAAUGCAGGCUAUAUAUAUAUAUAUAUAUAUAUAUAUAUAUCUGUGUUGUCAUGCACAUGUCAACACUGUCUUGAUGACAAAAUUUUAUUUAUCCCCCCAGAUAAAAAUUUUAAGAAAUUUUAAAUGCUUUUUAUUCACAAACACUUUUCAAAAGGGAUAAAAGUUAAUCAUGUUAAAAUAUUCAGUCUAUGGCAGAUGUCACUCCUUCGGGCCCUCACUGCUGAAUUGCUUACAGUUUCUGAGCUGUAAACUAACAUUUGCUUUACUAUGUAGUUACAAAGAAAUGUGUACCUUAUUUGUGAAAUAUUCAAAUAAAGCUCAUCUGGGAUUUAUAA